rnacentral:rRNA from 1 species
GAUGAACGCUGACAGAAUGCUUAACACAUGCAAGUCCACUUGAACUUCGGUUUGGGUGGCGGACGGGUGAGUAACGCGUACAGAACUUGCCUCACAGCUAGGGACAACAUUUGGAAACGAAUGCUAAUACCUGAUAUUAUGAUUAUAUGGCAUCGUAUAAUUAUGAAAGCUAUAUGCGCUGUGAGAGAGCUUUGCGUCCCAUUAGCUAGUUGGAGAGGUAACAGCUCACCAAGGCGAUGAUGGGUAGCCGGCCUGAGAGGGUGAUCGGCCACAAGGGGACUGAGACACGGCCCUUACUCCUACGGGAGGCAGCAGUGGGGAAUAUUGGACAAUGGACCGAGAGUCUGAUCCAGCAAUUCUGUGUGCACGAUGAAGUUUUUCGGAAUGUAAAGUGCUUUCAGUUGGGAAGAAAAAAAUGACGGUACCAACAGAAGAAGUGACGGCUAAAUACGU